rnacentral:rRNA from 1 species
UACGUAGGUGGCAAGCGUUGUCCGGAUUUACUGGGCGUAAAGGGAGCGUAGGCGGACUUUUAAGUGGGAUGUGAAAUACCCGGGCUCAACCUGGGUGCUGCAUUCCAAACUGGAAGUCUAGAGUACAGGAGGGGAAAGUGGAAUUCCUAGUGUAGCGGUGAAAUGCGUAGAGAUUAGGAAGAACACCAGUGGCGAAGGCGACUUUCUGGACUGUAACUGACGCUGAGGCUCGAAAGCGUGGGGAGCAAACAGG